rnacentral:rRNA from 1 species
AUUGAACGCUGGCGGCAGGCCUAACACAUGCAAGUCGAGCGGAUGAAGGGAGCUUGCUCCUGGAUUCAGCGGCGGACGGGCGAGUAAUGCCUAGGAAUCUGCCUGGUAGUGGGGGAUAACGUCCGGAAACGGGCGCUAAUACCGCAUACGUCCUGAGGGAGAAAGUGGGGGAUCUUCGGACCUCACGCUAUCAGCUGAGCCUAGGUCGGAUUAGCUAGUUGGUGGGGUAAAGGCCUACCAAGGCGACGAUCCGUAACUGGUCUGAGAGGAUGAUCAGUCACACUGGAACUGAGACACGGUCCAGACUACUACGGGAGGCAGCAGUGGGGAAUAUUGGACAAUGGGCGGAAGCCUGGUCCAGCCAUGCCGCGUGUGUGGAGAAGGUCUUCGGAUUGUAAAGCACUUUAAGUUGGGAGGAAGGGCAGUAAGUUAAUACCUUGCUGUUUUGACGUUACCAACAGAAUAAGCACCGGCUAACUUCGUG